UAGAAUUAUUUCAUUUGUUUGCUCGGGUCAUUGUUACAGCUCUUGUUUAGAUUACCUUGAUUUUGGUCUAUUAAAUUGGAAUAGAAUGAUUUUGCAUGGAUUUGUUAGUUUACUGGUUUAGGCUUAAGGAUUGCAUCGUCGUGAUCGUUAUUCUUCUAAGCAUUCUUGCCUUAAUUCAUCUUCUGGUAUACUGUUUUGGUUCAGGGCAUCCCGUUUUCCUUAUUUCAAUUUCUAACUACUUAAUCCAUUGACUAUUUGUUUCAGGCGUUAGUCCACUCAAUUUAUUUAAUUGUGUGAUUGGUGGGUUAUAAUAGUUUCUCAUAGAAUCCUGUCGAUUCUAGAUUAAAUAGCAAGUUGUCUCCCUUGUUAGAUUGACUGUGGAUUCAAUGAGAAUGAGAGUAGGAAGAGUUGAGCUCUAGCAAAAACCUUGAGUAUCCUAACUUGGUUUCCCUAGGUUGCUCCUCAUUCCAAGCUCUCCUCAUUCCAAAAUCGAAUUUCCUUCGCUAAAGUUGAAUAAAUCUUUGCUUGUUGUCGGCCUGUUCAUGUAUCACUCUCGCUUAAUCAUAGUUGAUUGUUUUAAAAAAAGAAAAACUGGAAUGCUAUUUUCUUCCUGUUUGCUACUUUUGAUG
rnacentral:lncRNA from 1 species